rnacentral:rRNA from 1 species
CCUACGGGCGGCAGCAGUGGGGAAUAUUGCACAAUGGGGGAAACCCUGAUGCAGCGACGCCGCGUGAGUGAAGAAGUAUUUCGGUACGUAAAGCUCUAUCAGCAGGGAAGAAAAUGACGGUACCUGACUAAGAAACCCCGGCUAACUACGUGCCAGCAGCCGCGGUAAUACGUAGGGGGCAAGCGUUAUCCGGAUUUACUGGGUGUAAAGGGAGCGUAGACGGCAGCGCAAGUCUGGAGUGAAAUCCCAUGGCUUAACCAUGGAACUGCUUUGGAAACUGUGCAGCUAGAGUGCAGGAGAGGUAAGCGGAAUUCCUAGUGUAGCGGUGAAAUGCGUAGAUAUUAGGAGGAACACCAGUGGCGAAGGCGGCUUACUGGACUGUAACUGACGUUGAGGCUCGAAAGCGUGGGGAGCAAACAGGAUUAGAUACCCCUGUAGUC